GAACUUUGCCACGUCCACUUACGGUUAGCCCAUUUUCUGAAGAAGGUAUUAAAUAUCUGUGAAUUAGUACGUUUUGCGAACUCUACUUACGACUUUCCUCUGGCAUUUCUAGAACCAAUGCCAUAUUCUACCACUGCAUGGUCUGUUUCUUGCCUACUUUGGCAUCAAAGUUUCCCAUCAGAAAAGUAUACUGUGACAUUACUUUAUCAAUGGCUGACUAUACGUCUUCUUAGAAGUGUUCAACCGAAUGAUCAUCACGGCUCGAUGUAGGUCUGACUGCCCCCUUGGACAGUUGCUUCACAGCCACUGGGGACCAAGGGCGAAGAGUUAAUUGGUACUUUCAUAAGCUGGUCGAUAUGUCCAUUCUGUCUGCCAUCUAGUGCUCGUUACGAUGUCAAGCUGUCAUUGUUAUGUCUUCGACUCCAGGCCACGUCAAACAUGUGUGACAUGAUAGAACGGAUAGUAAUUAUAAUCUCAGGCUUGACCUGUUACUGGCAUACACGAAAGGGUAGUGCAGAUGGGAGUGUCGUGUGAGCCGCUGUCCUGUGCAGGUUGUUCGGGAAAUUAGUCACCAUUGCUGCACUCAAGAAAGCCUGGAAGGAUUUUUCGGAAAGCUUCAUUUUAAUAAAGCCUGCACCCGCUUUGCAUGUUGUUCGUAGCUGCAACUGCGGAGCCUCAA